rnacentral:rRNA from 1 species
UACGUAGGGUGCAAGCGUUAAUCGGAAUUACUGGGCGUAAAGCGUGCGCAGGCGGUUUUGUAAGUCUGUCGUGAAAGCCCCGGGCUCAACCUGGGAAUUGCGAUGGAGACUGCAAGGCUUGAAUCUGGCAGAGGGGGGUAGAAUUCCACGUGUAGCAGUGAAAUCCGUAGAUCUACGAAGGAACGCCAAAAGCGAAGGCAGCUCUCUGGGUCCCCUACCGAGCUGGGGUGCGAAAGCUGGGGAGCG